GGAUUCGACUGAAAAAUUGCCGAAAAAUUUGCCCAAAAAAUCUGAAAAUCUGGGCAAAUUUUCAGAUUUUUUGGGUGAAAUUUCCAGCAAUUUUUCGUCAACUUCUGAUUACCAAGAUAGCCGAAUUAUGAUACCGUUGGAAAGUUCACAAUGUCCUGUUCAGUUACGAUCCAAAAUCUCCCCAUAACUCUAAGGAUUUGACUGAAAACUUGCCGCAAAAUUCACCCAAAAAAAUCUGAAAAUCUGCCCAAUUUUUCAGAUUUUUUGGGCGAAUUUUGCAGCAAUUUUUUUGGUGACUUC
rnacentral:miRNA from 1 species